UGAACGCUAGCGGCAGGCCUAAUACAUGCAAGUCGAACGGUGUCUUCGGACAUAGUGGCGCACGGGUGCGUAACACGUAUGCAACCUACCUUACAUUGGGGGGAUAGCCUUUCGAAAGGGAGAUUAAUACCGCAUAAGACAGUAGCUGGGCCAUCCAGCAGCUGUUAAAGAUUUUAUCGAUGUAAGAUGGGCAUGCGUCCAAUUAGUUAGUUGGCGAGGUAACGGCUCACCAAGACUUUGAUUGGUAGGGGAACUGAGAGGUCAAUCCCCCCACACUGGCACUGAGAUACGGGCCAGACUCCUACGGGAGGCAGCAGUAGGGAAUAUUGGGCAAUGGACGCAAGUCUGACCCAGCCAUGCCGCGUGCAGGAUGAAGGCGUUAUGCGUUGUAAACUGCUUUUAUACAGGAAGAAACGACUCUUGCGAGAGGCAUUGACGGUACUGUAUAGAAUAACGCACCGGCUAACGUCCGUGCCAG
rnacentral:rRNA from 1 species